AUUUUUUAAUGGAUAUUGAUAGACUCACAAGUGUUCUUGGCUUGUGCCAAUGCUGUUCUGUGUCUGUGCAGCUGUGAACUGGUGGUGCAGCAGGAAUGUUUAGUUGAGAGUAGUGUGCUGUCUGGUAAAGAAGGGCCACCAGAUGAUUGCACAGAGCACUUCCUGCAACACAGGAGCAGUGGCUUUGGACCACUAUCACUGGUACGGAGUGCUUUAACACCAUCUGUGAAGAUACGUCUGAUGAAAGACUGAAGUGAGAAACAAGAAUGAUGCGGCCCAUAAAUAACAAUAAACAUAGUAGUGUCUAGUCUUCUUAACUAGGGGCUCUUAACUAUACAGGAAUACAUUGUGUCUCAGUAACACAAUUACCAAACACUGCAUCAACAGAUCUUUACCAAAUAACCUGUUAAGUGGGCAAUUCUAAAUUGGGAUUGGGACCCAUCACUGUCUCCAACACAUUUUGACCCCGAUGACAGUGUCUCACAGGAGAUGUUUAACAAGGUCCCUAGUAGCUGACCUUUCCCUACUCAUGCUGUGCGGCUUUUCACUCUUCCUCAUGGACCUGUGACAGGCAGCCCUCACGGUGAUCGCCCCUGUCAAUGUAUCUUUGUUAGAUACUGUGUAGAAGAGAUGAAUAACAAUUAUUUUUAGCUAGAAAAUAUAGCUAGCAAGCAUAACUUAACCAAGCUAACGAAAAUACACAUUCUCAGCAUAGAAUGAACCUGCCUCUCCUACACAAGUGAAUCAACGAGGAUGAACAAGCAGCACUUUUGGUAUUUUGUCUAACCUUAUGAUAAUAAAUUGGAUUACUAUGAAAGCUCAGGCUUUGUGGUCAUAUUGGUAAUUAAAUCAUCCUGCCUGGUCUAGCUGGUUUGUGACCUUACUACUUACAGGAAUACAUGAUCAUACAUAUUUCAGUUAUGGACUAUCAUAUAUUAAAUUGUUACAUAUUUUCCCCAAAAAAUUGGGAUUGUAAAAAUGUUACUUUGUCACCUUGAAAACAGGUUGAUAACUGCACAAUUCCCUUCCAUUCAUGAUCCCAUUUCUUAUGUAUGAUAGUUGUCAUGCCAUGUUACCAUAGGAGUUGGCUAAUAUAGCACAAACAGAUCAAAGAACAAGCUAACAUUUGGUUGAUUGUCAGAACAGAAAGAGUGAAACUUCAGUGUACUUGAGGACUACUCUAGAAAUGGUUUACUUUGUUACAGGAAAGAUAGAAAGGAGAAUAAGAUGUGGUUUGCUUGUUUGUCACCUGAAUGCGAGGGCAAGCGGUUGUGUUGGAUGUUACGGUUAUGAUAGUAAUGUAGGCUCUAACUUGCACUUUGUUAUCAGGUUUGAAUGAAAAUAUAUUUCCCUAACCUUAUUCUUUCAAUAAAGUUAUUUUUAAUUAAUA
ensembl:lncRNA